rnacentral:rRNA from 1 species
UACAGAGGGGGCAAGCGUUAUUCGGAAUUACUGGGCGUAAAGGGUUCGUAGGUGGCCGGCUAAGUCAGACGUGAAAUCCCUCAGCUUAACUGAGGAAGUGCGCCCGAAACUGCAGAGCUUGAAUACCGGAGAGGAUGGCGGAAUUCCCCAAGUAGAGGUGAAAUUCGUAGAUAUGGGGAGGAACACCGGUGGCGAAGGCGGCCAUCUGGACGGCUAUUGACGCUGAGACGCGAAAGCGUGGGGAGCAAACAGG